GAUGUACGCUGGCGGCGUGCCUAAUACAUGCAAGUCGAGCGGUAAGGCCUCUUCGGAGGUACACGAGCGGCGGACGGCUGAGUAACGCGUAGGAACAUACCCCAAAGUGAGGGAUAACUGCUCGAAAGAGUAGCUAAUACCGCAUGUGAUCUAAGGAUUAAAGCUUCGGCGCUUUGGGAAUGGCCUGCGUAUGAUUAGUUUGUUGGUGAGGUAAUGGCUCACCAAGACUACGAUCAUUAGCUGGUCUGAGAGGAUGAUCAGCCAGACUGGGACUGAGACACGGCCCAGACUCCUACGGGAGGCAGCAGUAGGGAAUCUUCCACAAUGGGCGAAAGCCUGAUGGAGCAACGCCGCGUGCAGGAUGAAGGCCUUCGGGUUGUAAACUGCUUUUAUAUGCGAAGAUUAUGACGGUAGCAUAUGAAUAAGGAUCGGCUAACUCCGUGCCAGCAGCCGCCGUAA
rnacentral:rRNA from 1 species